rnacentral:rRNA from 1 species
UAAAACGGGAGGCAGCAGUAGGGAAUCUUCCGCAAUGGACGAAAGUCUGACGGAGCAACGCCGCGUGAACCAUGAAGGCCUUCGGGUCGUAAAGUUCUGUUGUUAGGGAAAAACAAGUACCAGAGUAACUGCUGGUACCUUGACGGUACCUAACCAGAAAGCCACGGCUAACUACGUGCCAGCAGCCGCGGUAAUACGUAGGUGGCAAGCGUUGUCCGGAAUUAUUGGGCGUAAAGCGCGCGCAGGUGGUUUCUUAAGUCUGAUGUGAAAGCCCACGGCUCAACCGUGGAGGGUCAUUGGAAACUGGGGAACUUGAGUGCAAAAGAGGAAAGUGGAAUUCCAAGUGUAGCGGUGAAAUGCCUAGAGAUUUGGAGGAACACCAGUGGCGAAGGCGACUUUCUGGUCUGUAACUGACACUGAGGCGCGAAAGCGUGGGGAGCGAACAGGAUUAAAUACCCUGGUAGUCCACGCCGUAAACGAUGAGUGCUAAGUGUUAGAGGGUUUCCCCCCUUUAAUGGCUGCACAAACGCAUUAAGCAC